rnacentral:rRNA from 1 species
GAUUUCUGGACGACGGGCGACAGCCUGAUCCAGCAACGCCGCGUGCAGGAUGACGGCCUUCGGGUUGUAAAUUGCUUUUGUACGGAACGAAAAGCUUUGGGUUAAUACCCUGGAGUCAUCACUGCACCGUCAGAAUAAGCACCGGCUAACUACGUGCCAGCGUCCGCGGUCAUACGUAGGGUGCAAGCGUUAAACGGAGUUACUGGGCGUAAAGCGAGAGCGGGCGGUUGUGUAAGACAGAGGUGAAGUCCCCGGGCUCAACCUGGGAACUGCCUUUGUGACUGCAAGGCUAGAGUACGGCAGAGGGGGGUGGAAUUCCGCGUGUAGCAGUGAAAUGCGUAGAUAUGCGGAGGAACACCGAUGGCGAAGGCAACCCCCUGGGCCUGUACUGACGCUCAUGCACGAAAGCGUGGGGAGCAAACA